rnacentral:rRNA from 1 species
AGUCCUCGGGAGGCAGCAGUGGGGAAUAUUGCACAAUGGGGGAAACCCUGAUGCAGCAACGCCGCGUGAGUGAAGAAGUAUUUCGGUAUGUAAAGCUCUAUCAGCAGGGAAGAAAAUGACGGUACCUGACUAAGAAGCCCCGGCUAACUACGUGCCAGCAGCCGCGGUAAUACGUAGGGGGCAAGCGUUAUCCGGAUUUACUGGGUGUAAAGGGAGCGCAGGCGGCGCGGUAAGUCUGAUGUGAAAGCCCGGGGCUCAACCCCGGGACUGCAUUGGAAACUGUCGUGCUGGAGUGUCGGAGGGGG